rnacentral:ncRNA from 1 species
GGGUCCGCAGUUCACCCAGGCGUCACCGUCCCGCGCAGGGAAGCUAAACCUGUCC